rnacentral:rRNA from 1 species
ACAGUCACACAUUAGAUACCGCGUAGUCCCAGCCGUAAACUAUGCGCGUUAGGUGUAUCGGUGACCACGAGUCACCGAGGUGCCGAAGGGAAACCGUGAAACGUGCCGCCUGGGAAGUACGGUCGCAAGGCUGAAACUUAAAGGAAUUGGCGGGGAGCACCACAACGGGUGGAGCCUGCGGUUUAAUUGGACUCAACGCCGGGAAGCUCACCGGAUAAGGCAGCGGAAUGAUUGCCGGGCUGAAGACUCUGCAUGACUAGCUG